GUGCACUCAUUGGAGAGGAACUUGACUGCAAGACCCACCCGUCGAGCAGGGAUGAAAGUCGGCCUUAGUGAUCCGACGGUGCCGAGUGGAAGGGCCGUCGCUCAACGGAUAAAAAUUACUCUAGGGAUAACAUGCUGAUCUUCUCCAAGAGCUCACAUCGACGGGAAGGUUUGGCACCUCGAUGUCGGCUCUUUGCCACCUGGGGCUGUAGUAUGUUCCAAGGGUUCUUUUUUACAAAUUCGCUAUAUGUAUUUCAUUCGAGGAUACUAGGAUU
rnacentral:sRNA from 1 species